rnacentral:rRNA from 1 species
UGGAGCCAGAUGUUUCGGAAGCGCGAGGACACGGCCGCUCGGCGAAAGAACGUUUCGUAAAGAGAGGGGAGGGGACGAGGGGACGUAGGUGUAAGAAGGAAGAGCAAAGCGGCCGCGUUCUACCGUUAUCUGGUGCGCAGGGGAGAGCGCGAGUUCUCGCCGCCGCGGUGCCCUCCUCGCCCCGCGCUGCUCCUCCGCCUCUUGGUCGCCACCGGCGGCACCGACUUCGGCGACGACCGCUGCUCGAAGAAGCACGUUACGGCCCGCGUGCGGCUGCGCGUGUUCUCGCUCACGUUGUACAUGACGGAGCUGACGUAGUUGCCGCGCGAGACGAGCGAGACGGAGCGGGUGGUGGCGCUGGUGGUGCGGUAGGUCUAAGCCUCCAGCAGCAUGGUGCUGCACUAGGCCCACAGCCUCUAUGUCUCCCACGACCUGUAGUGGCCGCACGUCUGCAUGUAGUAGUUGUCGCGCGCGCACCACAAGGAGUUGCUCGCGGGCGUCGGCUCCGGCCCGUUCCCCCAGUGGUUGUGGACGCUCCAGACGCUCGCGUCGGACGACCUGAGCAAGGCGAAGACGAGGGAGCCUACGUUUUAACAUCCGUGCAGGCCGCCGGUGGCCGGCUCCUUCUUCGUGCCGCCGCAGCUACCGCCGUUCUUCUUCUUCUCUCGCCGCCAGUUCCUCCGCGCCAGCCUGAGCCUCGUGAGCACGUGCUCGUGGUCGCCGCCCUCGUCGCUGUUCUCGUCGCACCACGUCUCGAAGAGCGGCAGCUGGGGCGGCCGGUGGAGGUCGUCGAUGGCGCGGCCGUUGUUCGCGGCGUUCCCGUAGGGCGUGGCCAGCGGCAAGCCGUCGGAGUAGCACCUCAUGAUCCUGUCGUGUGUACGGUACGGACGGGACUAGUUGUGAGAUCGCAUGACAUGUGCACUGUAUCGGCUCUUCCAUUACCGACGCGCGGGACUUGCCGCUCGGCGCACGGCGGCAGCUCCCCGUGCUCGUCACUCGUGUAUGAUAUCGCACACUGAAAGUCAAAGAACGUCUGAGAAGUCAAUCGAUCAAUGGUGGCCAUUUUGUCAUCGCAAUCUGACAUUCAUUGAACGUUGAGGUACUACUGCUGAUUCAAAACGUUAUAUGACGAUACUAUCAUCAUUUGAGGCACGGGUAUACCAAUACCGUGAUCUAGCAUUUACACGUAUCUACUACAUCUAUUUACAUAGUGCAUCAUCAUACACCUCGUCCUCCGGUCACACCACCACAAGUACAUGCACGUGUCCGGUACAUUAUUUUUAUUCUUACGACGAGUCGAGCUGGUACAAAACCACAAGGGUUACGGCGUCUCGGUCCGUAACUAGACCGACUCACCGAGUAGUAAGUAAG